rnacentral:rRNA from 1 species
AGUCAAUGAAAUUGAUCUCCCCGUGCAGAAGCGGGGAUAUAAACAUAAGACGAGAAGACCCUAUGGAGCUUUAGACACAAGAAUAGAUCAUGUUAAACCUCUAAUGCAAAAAGAAGGAAACCGAUUGAACCCUACUCCAAUGUCUUUGGUUGGGGCGACCACGGGGAAACAAAAAACCCCCGAGUGGAAUGAGAGAACACUACUCUUAAAACCAAGAGCCACAGCUCUAAGAAUCAGAACAUCUGACCUUAAGGAUCCGGCAUGACCGAUCAACGAACUGAGUUACCCUAGGGAUAACAGCGCAAUCCCCUUUUAGAGCCCAUAUCGACAAGGGGUUUACGACCUCGAUGUUGGAUCAGGACAUCCUAAUGGUGCAGCCGCUAUUAAGGGUU